rnacentral:rRNA from 1 species
CACCCCCCUUCCCGACUGUCCCCCGAUUGGCCUGCGUGUGAGUGCGAUAGUUGACGAACAGCUCACUAGAACUGCGAUGAUUUAGUCUGCGGGGGAGAUAACCCCGUGAAAAUGUGGCUAAGGACGGAGAAUAAGACGCAGGCCUAUCAGUUAGUUGGUAGUGUAAUGGACUACCAAGACGGUGACGGGUGCCGGGGAAUGAGGGUUCGAUACCGGAGAGGGAGCCUGAGAGACAGCUCCCACGUCCAAGGACGGCAGCAGGCGCGAAAAUUGCCCACUGUUUGGAGGAGGCAGUUAUGAGACCUGAGAGACACCGCCGAGCAAAGAGUGGCGGGCGAAUUGACGGGCAUGUUUGGGGCCCGCAUCCGCGGUCAUACCGACUCCAAGAGCGUGUGUGAAACAUGCUGCAGUUAAAAAGUCCGCUCUCUCCCCCCCCCAACGCGGGC